CCUACGGGAGGCAGCAGUGGGGAAUUUUGGACAAUGGGGGCAACCCUGAUCCAGCGACGCCGCGUGGAGGACGAAGGUCUUCGGAUUGUAAACUCCUUUUAGUGGGGACGGAAUGACUCUGUGAAUAGCAGAGAGUGACUGGUACCCCGGAAUAAGCCACGGCUAACUUCGUGCCAGCAGCCGCGGUAAUACGAAGGUGGCAAGCGUUACUCGGAAUUACUAGGCGUAAAGCGCAGGUAGGCGGUUCAAUAAGUCUUUUGUGAAAGCUCCCGGCUUAACUGGGAGAGGCCAAGGGAAACUAUUGGGCUAGAGUGUGGUAGAGGGUGCUGGAAUUCCCGGUGUAGCGGUGAAAUGCGUAGAGAUCGGGAGGAAUACCUAUGGCGAAAGCAGGCACCUGGGCCAUUACUGACGCUGAGCUGCGAAAGCUAGGGGAGCAAACAGGAUUAGAUACCCUGGUAGUCCUAGCCCUAAACGAUGCUCAUUAGAUGUGGGGGGUAUCGACCCCUUCCGCGUCGUAGCUAACGCAUUAAAUGAGCCGCCUGGGGAGUACGGCCGCAAGGUUGAAACUCAAAGGAAUUGACGG
rnacentral:rRNA from 1 species